rnacentral:rRNA from 1 species
GACGAACGCUGGCGGCGUGCUUAACACAUGCAAGUCGAACGGAAAGGCCUGUCCUUCCUUGUGUUGGCCGGGUACUCGAGUGGCGAACGGGUGAGUAACACGUGAGUGAUCUUCCCCCAACUUUGGUAUAAGCCUGGGAAACUGGGUCUAAUUCCCGAUAGGACUGCAGGGUGGUGCCGGUGGUGGAAAACGAUGUGCUAGUGGUUGGGGAUGAGCUGGCGGCCUAUCAGCUUGUUGGUGGGGUAAUGGCCUACCAAGGCGGGGACGGGUAGCCGGCCUGGGAGGGUGGACGGCCACAUUGGGACUGAGAUACGGCCCAGACUCCUACGGGAGGCAGCAGUGGGGAAUAAUGCACAAUGGGCGGAAGCCUGAUGCAGCGACGCCGAGUGGGGGAUGACGGCCUUCGGGUUGUAAACUCCUUUCGACCGCGAGGAAGCCGCCUGGUUGGAAGGGUGGUGACGGUAGUGGUAGAAGAAGCACCGGCUAACUACGUG